rnacentral:tRNA from 1 species
GUAACUGAGUCUGUCGGCGACACGUCUGCUAGAGCGCCGGGACUGAGAAAACGCACAGCAGACUGCACCCGGAGAAGUCCUGACAAAGUGCCAGCGGACGGGGGUUCGAUUCCCCCCACCUCCA